GACGAACGCUGGCGGCGUGCUUAACACAUGCAAGUCGAACGGAAAGGCCCUGCUUUUGUGGGGUGCUCGAGUGGCGAACGGGUGAGUAACACGUGAGUAACCUGCCCUUGACUUUGGGAUAACUUCAGGAAACUGGGGCUAAUACCGGAUAGGAGCUCCUGCUGCAUGGUGGGGGUUGGAAAGUUUCGGCGGUUGGGGAUGGACUCGCGGCUUAUCAGCUUGUUGGUGGGGUAGUGGCUUUCCAAGGCUUUGACGGGUAGCCGGCCUGAGAGGGUGACCGGCCACAUUGGGACUGAGAUACGGCCCAGACUCCUCCGGGAGGCAGCAGUGGGGAAUAUUGCACAAUGGGCGGAAGCCUGAUGCAGCAACGCCGCGUGCGGGAUGACGGCCUUCGGGUUGUAAACCGCUUUCGCCUGUGACGAAGCGUGAGUGACGGUAAUGGGUAAAGAAGCACCGGCUAACUACGUG
rnacentral:rRNA from 1 species